rnacentral:rRNA from 1 species
UACGGAGGGUGCGAGCGUUGUCCGGAAUCACUGGGCGUAAAGGGCGCGUAGGCGGCCUGAUAAGUAGGGGGUGAAAUCCUGCGGCUUAACCGCAGGGCUGCCUUCUAAACUGUCAGGCUAGAGCACGGUAGAGGCAGAUGGAAUUCCCGGUGUAGCGGUGGAAUGCGUAGAGAUCGGGAAGAACAUCAGUGGCGAAGGCGGUCUGCUGGGCCGUUGCUGACGCUGAGGCGCGACAGCGUGGGGAGCGAACAGG